rnacentral:tRNA from 1 species
GUUGGAGUGGCAGAGUCUGGUUGAAUGCGGCGGUCUUGAAAACCGUUUGCCCGCAAGGGCGCGUAGGUUCGAAUCCUACCUCCAACG